rnacentral:rRNA from 1 species
UAGCGGCGAGCGAACGGGGAGGAGCCCAGAGCCUGAAUCAGCAUGUGUGUUAGUGGAAGCGUCUGGAAAGGCGCGCGAUACAGGGUGACAGCCCCGUACACAAAAGCGCAUGUGCUGUGAGCUCGAUGAGUAGGGCGGGACACGUGGUAUCCUGUCUGAAUAUGGGGGGACCAUCCUCCAAGGCUAAAUACUCCUGACUGACCGAUAGUGAACCAGUACCGUGAGGGAAAGGCGAAAAGAACCCCGGCGAGGGGAGUGAAAAAGAACCUGAAACCGUGUACGUACAAGCAGUGGGAGC